rnacentral:rRNA from 1 species
UACGGAGGGUGCAAGCGUUAUCCGGAUUCACUGGGUUUAAAGGGUGCGUAGGCGGGCAUUUAAGUCAGUGGUGAAAUACCUGAGCUUAACUUGGGAACUGCCAUUGAUACUAUUUGUCUUGAAUGUCGUGGAGGUUAGCGGAAUAUGUCAUGUAGCGGUGAAAUGCUUAGAUAUGACAUAGAACACCUAUUGCGAAGGCAGCUAACUACGCGAAUAUUGACGCUGAGGCACGAAAAGCGUGGGGGAUCAAAACAGG